GACGAAUGCUGGCUGCGUGCUUAACACAUGCAAGUCGAACGGUGAAGGAGGGCUUGCCCUCCGGAUCAGUGGCGAACGGGUGAGUAACACGUGGGCAACCUGCCCCUCACUCUGGGAUAACGCCGGGAAACCGGCGCUAAUACCGGAUACGACCAGGCGCGACAUCUCGCCUGGUGGACAGAAUUUCGGUGAGGGAUGGGCCCGCGGCCUAUCAGCUAGUUGGUGGGGUAACGGCCCACCAAGGCGACGACGGGUAGCCGGCCUGAGAGGGCGACCGGCCACACUGGGACUGAGACACGGCCCAGACUCCUACGGGAGGCAGCAGUGGGGAAUAUUGCGCAAUGGGCGAAAGCCUGACGCAGCGACGCAGCGUGAGGGACGAAGGCCUUCGGGUUGUAAACCUCUUUCAGCGGGGACGAAGCGAAAGUGACGGUACCCGCAGAAGGAGCACCGGCUAACUACGUGCCAGCCGCCGCCGUAACAC
rnacentral:rRNA from 1 species